GAUGAACGCUGGCGGCGUGCUUAACACAUGCAAGUCGAACGAUGAAGCCCAGCUUGCUGGGCGGAUUAGUGGCGAACGGGUGAGUAACACGUGAGUAACCUGCCCUUGACUCUGGGAUAAGCCCGGGAAACUGGGUCUAAUACCGGAUAGGAGCGCCUGUCGCAUGACGGGUGCUGGAAAGAUCUUUCGGUCAUGGAUGGACUCGCGGCCUAUCAGCUUGUUGGUGAGGUAACGGCUCACCAAGGCGACGACGGGUAGCCGGCCUGAGAGGGUGACCGGCCACACUGGGACUGAGACACGGCCCAGACCCCUACGGGAGGCAGCAGUGGGGAAUAUUGCACAAUGGGCGAAAGCCUGAUGCAGCGACGCCGCGUGAGGGAUGACGGCCUUCGGGUUGUAAACCUCUUUCAGCAGUGAAGAAGCGAAAGUGACGGUACCUGCAGAAGAAGCACCGGCUAACUACGUG
rnacentral:rRNA from 1 species